AUUGAACGCUGGCGGCAUGCCUAACACAUGCAAGUCGAACGGCAGCACGGGGCAACCUGGUGGCGAGUGGCGAACGGGUGAGUAAUACAUCGGAACGUGCCCAAUCGUGGGGGAUAACGUAGCGAAAGUUACGCUAAUACCGCAUACGAUCUAUGGAUGAAAGCGGGGGAUCGCAAGACCUCGCGCGAAUGGAGCGGCCGAUGUCAGAUUAGGUAGUUGGUGGGGUAAAGGCUCACCAAGCCGACGAUCUGUAGCUGGUCUGAGAGGACGACCAGCCACACUGGGACUGAGACACGGCCCAGACUCCUACGGGAGGCAGCAGUGGGGAAUUUUGGACAAUGGGCGAAAGCCUGAACCAGCAAUGCCGCGUGAGUGAUGAAGGCC
rnacentral:rRNA from 1 species